CUGUAGGGCUGGGGGCUGUGCACAACGUGGCCGUGUGGGCCGUGAGCUAGGGCUGCUUCCACUGCCUCUGCUGUGUGUCAGCUACUCAGCGACAGAGCCGCCAUGGGGCAGGAUUACUACGCCGUGCUGGAGCUGAGCCCCACCGCCACGGACGCCGACAUUAAGAAGGCGUACCGCCUGCUGGCCUUGGAGAACCACCCGCAGAAAUGCAAGGAGCCGUGGGCAUGGGAGCGGUUCCGGCUGCUGGCAGAAGCUUAUGAUGUGCUGAGUGACCCCGUAAGGAGAGGCAUCUACGAUAGGUUUGGUGAGGAAGGUCUCAAAGGUGGCAUCCCUGUGGAGUCUGGUGGUGAGGAUGCUUGGACUGCUGGUUAUGUGUUCCACAACAACCCCGACAAAGUCUUCAAGGAGUUCUUUGGAGGACACAACCCCUUUGCAGAGUUCUUCACCAAGGAUGCCUUGGAGGUGACCCUGCCCUUUGGAGGGCUGCAAGGAAGAGGCGUGAUGAAGCAGGACCCCCCGAUGGUGUGGGACCUCCACGUCUCCCUUGAAGAUCUCUUCUUUGGCUGCACCAAGAAGAUGAAGAUCUCCCGCCGGGUGAUGAACGAAGACGGCCAAACGAGCACCAUUAAGGACAAGAUCCUGAUCAUUGACGUGCAGCCAGGGUGGAAGCAAGGCACCAGGGUCACUUUUGAGAAGGAAGGAGACCAGGGCCCUAACGUCAUUCCAGCCGACAUCACCUUUGUUAUCCAAGAGAAACCUCACCCGAGGUUUAAAAGAACCAACGACAACCUCAUUUACGUGGCCAAUAUCCCCCUGGGAAAGGCACUGAUUGGCUGCACGGUGGAUGUGAGGACGCUGGACGGGCGGCUGCUGAGCAUCCCCAUCAAUGACAUCGUGCACCCCACGUACUGCAAAGUGGUGCCUGGGGAGGGGAUGCCUCUGCUCAAGGACCCACGGCGUAGGGGUGACCUCCUCAUCCACUUCAAUGUCUGCUUCCCCAAACGCCUCACGCCCGACAAGAAGCUGCUCCUGAGGAAUGCACUGCUGUCCUAGGAGCUGUCAGCCUUCUGCUUUCCUCCCAGUGAGGCUGCCAGCACUGUGAGUGAGCAUUCCCUGGUUUUGGGCUGCUCCCCUCUGGCAAGAUCAGAAUCAUUGAGGAAAAGACCACGAGGAUUGUAACCCAACUGCACCUCCGGACCAGGAGAAAAACUUCACCCUCUCUUAUAAUAAAAAUAAGGUGACGGAGCC